rnacentral:rRNA from 1 species
CCUAUGGGAUGCAGCAGGCGCUGUGGACGCCCGCGGGCCUGCGCUCACUGGCGCCGGGUGAAGCUGGCUACGCGCCGCGCUACGAGGGUGACGUGCGGGCGCGCGAUGCCAGCUACCACCAGGGGACGGUAUGGCCCUGGCUGGCCGGCGCCUUCGUCGAAGCCUGGCUGCGCACGCAUGGCGACGAUGCGGCCGCGCGGCAAACGGCGCGCGAGCGCUUCCUGGCGCCGCUGCUGGCGCGGCUGCAGAUCGCCGGGCUCGGGCACCUGAGCGAGAUUGCCGACGGCGACGCCCCGCACACGGCACGCGGCUGCCCGUUCCAGGCCUGGUCGAUGGCGCGCCUGCUGCCUCCCGUAGG